AUCAAUAACUUUUUUUUUUUGGUUUUAAUGUUAAAAAAAAA
rnacentral:sRNA from 1 species